rnacentral:misc_RNA from 1 species
CUUGAGUCUUCUAAAGAAAUCUCAGCGGCUAACAGCAACAUACAAGGUGAAAAUCUAACACUUAGUGGCCUGAUUCAACAGGCCGCUGAGGUGGUUUAUAUGGAAUGGGAAUCAAGUGCAGAUCGUUUUUCCUUCUAACUGUAGCCCCAAAAGACUCAAUCAUAUCCAGAGUUUCUGCCUUCAAUCCACCAGGAAGUUUCCAAUCAAAAUGAUAUAGAAAUUGUGCAAGUGGAAGC